AGUGCCCGUACCGCAAACCGACACAGGUGGGCUCCGAGCAAAUCUCGGAAGGGUAGCGGGUGAAACCCCCCUAAGGAACUCGGCAAAUUGGCCCCGUAACUUCGGGAGAAGGGGUGCCCAUCCCGUGCAAGCGGGAAUGGGUCGCAGGAAAUUGGCGGUGGGGACUGUUUACUAAAAACACAGGUCUCUGCCAACCCCAAAGGGGACGUAUAGGGACUGAGGCCUGCCCGGUGCCCGAAGGUGAAGGUAAGGGGUUAGCCGUAAGGCGAAGCUCCGAGCCUAAGCCCGGGUAAACGGAGGCCGUAACUCUGACGGUCCUAAGGUAGCGUAAUCCCUUGCCGGGUAAGUUCCGGCCUGCAUGAAUGGCUUAACCACUGCCGCUCUGUCUCAGGGGGGUGCCCGGUGAAAAUGUAGUGGGGGUGAAGAUGCCCCCGACCCGCGGCAGGACGGAAAGACCCCGUGCAGCUUUACUGCAGUCUGGCGCUGAACUCCGGGAGACCCUGCGCAGGAUAGGUGGGAGCCUGAGAAGUCCCCGCUCCGGCGGGGAUGGAGGCGCCGGUGAGAUACCACCCUGGAUCUCUUGGAGUUCUAACCCCAGGCCGUCAACCCGGAUGGGGGACACCGUCAGGCGGGCAGUUUUCCUGGGGCGGGAUCUCCCGAAAAAGUAUCGGGAGAGCGCAAAGGUGCCCUCAGCCGGUAUGGAAAUCCGGCCUUGAGUGCAAGGGCAUAAGGGCGCCUGACUGCGAGAGGGACACCUCGAGCAGACGCGAAAGCGGGCCCUAGUGACCCGGCGGUCCUAUGUGGGAGGGCCGUCGAUCAGCGGAUAAAAGCUACGCCGGGGAUAACAGACUAAUUUCUCCCGAGAGUUCACAUCGACGGGGGAGUUUGGUACCUCGAUGUCGGCUCAUCCCAUCCUGGGGCUGAAGAAGGUCCCAAGGGUCGGGCUGUUCGCCCGUUAAAGGGGUACGCGAGCUGGGUUUAAACCGUCGUGAGACAGGUUGGUCCUUAUCCGCCGUGGGCGCAGGAGGACUGAGGGGAGCUGGUCCUAGUACGAGAGGACCGGACUGGGGCAGCCUCUGGUGUACCGGUUGUCCUUCCAAGGGCAUCACGCCGGGUAGCCAUGCUGCCAUGGGAUAACCGCUGAAGGCAUCUAAGUGGGAAGCCCACCCCAAGAUAAGUCCUCCCUGAAGGGCCCUCGGAGACUACGAGGUUGAUAGGCCCGAGGUGUAAGCACCGCAAGGUGUUGAGCUGACGGGUCCUAAUCGCCCGUUCGCCAUAAA
rnacentral:rRNA from 1 species